rnacentral:lncRNA from 1 species
UGAUGGUGGAAUGUGAUGGACAUUAUUAUCCAAAGUACAGGUAUGAAGACAGGAAUUAGUGUGAAUAUACUUUGUAUACAACCAGAGAUAUGAAAAAUUGGGCUCUAAUGUGUAAUAAGAAUUAUAAUGCAUCCUGCUGUCACAAUAUAAAUAAAUUAAAAGAAAUUCCCAAGGAGGGGCACCCUGCAGGGCCGCCUACCCUCCCACUUGGCUCCUGCUCCUACCAGCUUCUCUGGCAAAACUCCUGGGGUGGGGGGGUGAGGGGGUGUGAAACCCCACUGAAAGGGUUCCGUGGGAGCCAGACAAACCGCCCAGGGGUAGGAAAUGAACAGGCCGGCCGGACCAAUAAUGGCUGGCUGGGGCUGCAGUCCCCCACCCACCCCCAGCUGGGGAGGCUUGGGGGGGGGCUGUCUGAUGAUGUGGGUGGAGAAUGGGGGUGGUAGAUAAGAAAAGAGGAAUAGGAAGAGUCCAAAGGACACUUUCUCUUGUUCAAAGGUUUAUUUUGGGCUUCCCACCCCCACCCAUGAUCAGGAGGUCCGAGUGCUGCCAACUACCGCCGGAAACUGUUCUUUGGUAACCUUUUGGCAGGCCCAUCUCAGCCACCCUGGGAAGGCAGCAUGAGGUCAUAAAAUUAGGGACAUUCAUGAGAAACUAGUUUUUUAAGAUAUUGCAGUAUCUCCCAGAUCUCCGCCCCGGCACAGUGUCACUGGCAACAGAAAUUCUUUCCGGAGAGCAGCCCCUGGCCCUGGACAUCCUCCAGGCCAGCCCUCAAUCCACUGCACCACUGACAGUCACCCCCUCCCUUUUCUUUUCCAAUUUUUUUUUAUUGGGAUAAUAUUUACAUACAUAAAAUUUGCCCUAGAGUGUUUGUUAGUGUACAGUUCAAAGGCAUCACGCACACUUGUAUCAUAUGCAACCACGCCCACCAUCCAUCUCUAGCCUCUUCAAGUUUCCAAAUAGAAACUGUACCCUUGAAACAACAGGUCCCCCUCUCCAAUGCAUGGGCUCAUUCAGCUGGGCAGAGAAGGAGAAUGUGCUCUGGGCUGGGUGAACUGAGCAAAAUUUUUUUUUUUUUUUUUUUUUAGAGACUGAACCCAGGGGUGCUUAACCACUGAGCCACAUCCCCAGCCCAUUUUAUUUUUUAUUUUGAGACAGGGUUUUGCUAAGUUGCUUAGGGCCUCACUAAAUUGCUGACACUGGCCUUGAACUUAAAAAUCUCCUGCCUCAGCCUCACGGAGUUGCUGAGAUUACAGGCGUGUACCACGGUGCCCGGCUCUAAUUUUCCUAAAGUCCAGUUUGUCUACUUUUUUUUUUUUUUUGCCUUUGUCUUUGAUGUCAUGUCUAAGAAAUUACUAAGUUCAAUGUUGCAAAAAAUUUCCCUGCUUUGCUUUCUUCUAAGAGUUUUGUAGUUUUAGGUCUUACAUUUAGGUGAUCACCACUGUUUAAAAAAAACUGUCUUUCUGGGGCUGGGGGUAUAGCCCAAGUGGUAGAGUACUUGCUUGGCAUGUUCAAGGCCAUGGGUUUAUUUGGUUGUCUUUAUGCCUGAGCCACGCUCUUGAUUUCUAUAGCUUUGUUCUGUUUUGAAAUCAGGAAGUGUGUGAGUCUUUCAGUUUUGUUCUUCUUUUUCAAAAUUAUUUUGGCUCUUUGGAGUCCCGUGAGACCCCCACAUAAAUUCUAGGAUGGAUUUUUCUUUUUCAUAUUGUUUGGAUGUACUGGGAUCAAACACAGGGCCUGGCCCAGGCUAGGCAAGUGCUCUUCCACUGAGCUAUACCGCCAGCCAGGGUGAUUGAUUGGUUGAUUAGUGCUGGGUAUUGAACCCAGGGCCUUGUGCAUGAGGAGCAAGCACUCUAUCAACUGAGCUAUAUUCCCAGCCCAAGGAUGAUUUAUUCUUAUUUCUGCAAAAAGCAUCAUUGGGCCGGGUGCAGUGGCACAUGCCUGUAAUCCCAGCGGCUCGGGAGGCUGAGGCAGGAGGAUCACAAGUUCAAAGCCAGCCUCAGCAAAAGUGAGGCACUAAGCAACUCAGUGAGACCCUGUCUCUAAAUAAAAUACAAAAUAGGGCUGGGGAUGUGGCUCAGGGGUCCAGUGCCCCUGAGUUCAAUCCCUGGUAACCACUCCCAUCACAAAAAAAAAAAUCAUUGGGAUUUUGACAGAAAUUGCAUUGAAUCUGUAGAUCAUCUGGGGGUAGUGUAGACAUCUUAAUAUUCAGUGUUUCAGUAUGUAAAUAUGGAUGACUUUCCAUUUAUUUACAUUUUUAAUUUAUUUCAGUGUUUGUUAGUUUUCAUUGUACUAGGCUUUUGUCUCCUUGGUUAGUUGAUUUCGAGGUGUUUUAUUAUUUUUGAUGCUAUUACAGAUGAAAAAUUUUAUAGUGCAAAUCUGAAAUAAAUAGAUUUCUUUUCUCUGAUAGUUUAUUAUUAUUGUACAGAAAUGUAACUGAUUUUUUUUGUGUUGAUUUUGUAUCUAGUUACUUUGCUGGAUUUAUUAGUUAUGACAACUAUUUUGAAUCCUUAGACUUCCUCAUGUAAGGUCACAUCAUCUGUGAACAGGGGAAGUUUGACCUCUUCCCUUCCAAGUUGAUGCUUUUUGUUAGUCUUGCCUUGUUUAAGGUUUUAGACAGAACUUUCAGUACCAUGUUGAAUAGAAGUGACCAAAGUGGGCAUCCUUGCUGUCCCUCCUCUUUUAAAAUAACCCUUUUAUUUUAGAACAGUUUUGGAUUUACAGAAAAGUUGUAAAGAUGGUACGAGAAUCCCCAGGUGCCCCAUCUCUGGUCCUCUAUCAUCACCAUCUUACAUUAGUUCUGGAAAAUUCUUUAAAAUGUGUGAGUGAAUAAUGCUAUCAUUAACUAAAUAAAGUCCA